rnacentral:misc_RNA from 1 species
UUUUAUUAAUUAAACAUUUAAACACAUGAUAAAAUGAGGCAGCCAGAAUUGGAGAGACUAUAUCAUGUUGUUUGCUCUUAAAGCAGGCACACGACAGCUAAAGCAUGUAAUGGAAAUUUGUUGUGCUAACAGUACCAGUUCCUGGAACAGGGAAAUGACAUGGCAGAGAGAGAGAGAGAGAGAACGCCCUAGCUGUUUUGGAUAAUUCUAUUGCAAUCACAAGAUGAACUGCCCAUCCAAAUUUUACAGGAUUUGUGUAUUCAAAACAUUCAUUUGUUGAUGCAGGCAGCAACACGGUAUUAUUUACCACAAGUCAUGUAUCGGUUUCAGAUGGCAGAACUUUUGGUAAAAACCUUUUUCAGUCGUCUGCCCACCGAACCCCAUGCUUGGCCCAAAGAUAGUAUGCUCCAAUUGGACCUCUACCUCCUAAUUCAUACAGCUCCGGUGCAAUAUUGUUCUUGUCUAUCUCAUGGAGAAUGGGAGUUAGAAUACUCCACGCAGCUGCAAGCUCAUCACUUCUCAUAAAGAGAUGGUUAUCUCCAUCAAUGACAUCAAGAAGAAGAUGCUCAUAUGAAUCAGGCACUUCCACAUUAUACCUGUCCUUGUAGAGCAAAUUAAGUUCAGAAGCAUCCAAAUGCAAGCCUAGUCCAGGAAUCUUAUUGUUAAUUCUGACUAGGAUGGCUUCAUCAGGGACAUCACGCAAAAUC